rnacentral:rRNA from 1 species
AACGAACGCUGGCGGCAUGCCUAACACAUGCAAGUCGAACGAAGGCUUCGGCCUUAGUGGCGCACGGGUGCGUAACGCGUGGGAAUCUGCCCUUGGGUUCGGAAUAACUCAGAGAAAUUUGAGCUAAUACCGGACGAUGUCGCAAGACCAAAGAUUUACCGCCCAAGGAUGAGCCCGCGUAGGAUUAGCUUGUUGGUGAGGUAAAAGCUCACCAAGGCGACGAUCCUUAGCUGGUCUGAGAGGAUGAUCAGCCACACUGGGACUGAGACACGGCCCAGACUCCUACGGGAGGCAGCAGUGGGGAAUAUUGGACAAUGGGCGAAAGCCUGAUCCAGCAAUGCCGCGUGAGUGAUGAAGGCCUUAGGGUUGUAAAGCUCUUUUACCCGGGAUGAUAAUGACAGUACCGGGAGAAUAAGCUCCGGCUAACUCCGUGCCAGCCGCCGCAGUAA